AUUGAACGCUGGCGGCAGGCCUAACACAUGCAAGUCGAGCGGAUGAAGGGAGCUUGCUCCUGGAUUCAGCGGCGGACGGGUGAGUAAUGCCUAGGAAUCUGCCUGGUAGGGGGGGAUAACGUCCGGAAACGGGCGCUAAUACCGCCUACGUCCUGAGGGAGCAAGUGGGGGGGCGUCGGACCUCACGCUAUCAGAUGAGCCUAGGUCGGAUUAGCUAGUUGGUGGGGUAAAGGCCUACCAAGGCGACGAUCCGUAACUGGUCUGAGAGGAUGAUCAGUCACACUGGAACUGAGACACGGUCCAGACUCCUACGAGAGGCAGCAGUCGGGAAUAUUGGACAGUAGGCGAAAGCCUGAUACAGCCAUGGCGCGUGUGUGAAGAAGGUCUUCGGAGUGUAAAGCACUUUAAGUUGGGAGGAAGGGCAGUAAGUUAAUACCUUGCUGUUUUGACGUUAACAACAGAAUAAGCACCGGCUAACUUCGUG
rnacentral:rRNA from 1 species